rnacentral:tRNA from 1 species
UAUAUUAAAGUGUAAGAUGCACAUUAGUUUUUGAAACUAUUUGGGAUAGUUUAAUUCUAUCUAGUAUAA